rnacentral:rRNA from 1 species
UACGGAGGGUGCGAGCGUUGUCCGGAAUCAUUGGGCGUAAAGAGCGUGUAGGCGGCCAGGUAGGUCUGCUGUGAAAACUCGAGGCUCAACCUCGAGACGUCGGUGGAAACCGUUUGGCUAGAGUCCGGAAGAGGAGAGUGGAAUUCCCGGUGUAGCGGUGAAAUGCGCAGAUAUCGGGAGGAACACCGGUGGCGAAGGCGGGUCUCUGGGCCGUAACUGACGCUGAGGAGCGAAAGCGUGGGGAGCAAACAGG